AUGUCAGCUCAAGAAUUGAGGAUGAUUCCAAUUACUUGGUCGUUUGUAGUGCGGGGGAUUGAUAUGGUUGGGCCUUUUAAAAGGUCCAAGGACAAAAAGACCCACCUUUUGGUGGCGGUUGACAAAUUCACAAAAUGGGUCGAAGCAGAACCAGUCAAUAAGUGUGACACGGCGACAGCGGUUCAAUUCAUCAAAAAGGUGAUUUUUCGCUUUGGUUUUCCCCACGGCAUUAUAACUGAUAAUGGCACUAAUCUGUCCAAGGGUGCUAUGAAAGAGUUUUGUCAACGUGAGCAUAUUCGACUUCACAUAUCGUCAGUAGCUCACCGCCAAUCCAAUGGUCAAGCUGAAAGAGCCAAUCAAGAAAUUUUGAGAUGCAUCAAGCCCCGGCUUAUGGUUCCUUUGCAGAGGACGCCAGGUUGUUGGGUGGAGGAGUUACCUUCAGCGCUAUGGAGUAUCAAUACUACCCCCAACGGAUCUACGGGUUACAUGCCUUUCUUCAUGGUUUACGAAGCAGAGGCGGUUCUCCCUACUGACAUCCAUCACGACUCGCCCCGCGUGGCAGCAUAUGUUGAAGAUGAUAAUGAAAAAGCACGUCAGGAUGCACUUGACCUGUUAGAUGAGGAGCGUGACCUUGCAGUGGCUCGCUCGGCGAUUUACCAACAAGAUCUGCACCAUUAUCAUAGCCGCCGGGUUAAGACCAGAACCUUUCAAGAAUGUGACUUGGUGCUCCGGCUUAUCAAGGAUCAAACUGAUAUGCACAAAUUAUCCCCACCUUGGGAAGGUCCCUUUGUGGUCAGCAAGAAUUUGAGCAAUAGGUCAUACUACCUUAUCGAUAUUCGAGACCACAAGGACUCACGUAAGUCGGAGGAAGAGACUCGCCGACCGUGGAAUAUUGCUCAUCUUCAGCCUUACUACACUUCAGCCACCGGCUCUUACAAUGUACAUAUUUUGAAAAAGUAUAUAUUAUGA
rnacentral:rRNA from 1 species